rnacentral:rRNA from 1 species
AAUAGAUACCCGGGUAGUCCACGCCGUAAACGAUGAGUGCUAAGUGUUAGGGGGUUUCCGCCCCUUAGUGCUGCAGCUAACGCAUUAAGCACUCCGCCUGGGGAGUACGGUCGCAAGACUGAAACUCAAAGGAAUUGACGGGGGCCCGCACAAGCGGUGGAGCAUGUGGUUUAAUUCGAAGCAACGCGAAGAACCUUACCAGGUCUUGACAUCCCGCUGACCGCUAUGGAGACAUAGCCUUCCCUUCGGGGACAGCGGUGACAGGUGGUGCAUGGUUGUCGUCAGCUCGUGUCGUGAGAUGUUGGGUUAAGUCCCGCAACGAGCGCAACCCUUGAGAUUAGUUGCCAUCAUUCAGUUGGGCACUCUAAUCUGACUGCCGGUGAUAAACCGGAGGAAGGUGGGGAUGACGUCAAAUCAUCAUGCCCCUUAUGACCUGGGCUACACACGUGCUACAAUGGACGGUACAAACGGUUGCCAACCCGCGAGGGGGAGCCAAUCCGAUAAAACCGUUCUCAGUUCGGAUUGUAGG